rnacentral:snRNA from 1 species
GGAUGAGGGCGAUCUGGCUGCGACAUCUGUCACCCCACUGAUCUGGCUGGCUAGGCAGGUGUCCCCUUCCUCCUUCACUGCUCCAUGUAUAUCCCUUCCAAAACUGGGUGCUUGGCAGAAGAGAACGGUUGGUCUUCGAUCACAGGUAGACAAGUAGGAGCACUCCCCCACUAGAGCCUCCAAACAGCUCUCAGGUGGCUGGUAGAGUGCAUGACUUGCAAGCUUAAGGCUUCUGAUCUACGGCCAGGUAGUGACGAUCCU